CAGAGCUUUACAAUUAUAUAGCGGGAAUUUAGCAACGAAUAAUUGACAGACAAAGUAAAUGGUGACAAAUACAAGAAAUAUUUUUAUAUAUAUAAAUCAUUUUUAAAAAGUGAAGCUGCCGACAGGGAAGUUAUACCUCCAGCAGCAAUGGGGUUUAACUCUGCAUGUGCAGUGCUUCAUAGCAAAAUAGACUCCAGGCACCAUGACCACUUCAAAACACUGAUUUAGUAAUAGUGCUUGGAAUAACCCUUUAACUUACACUUUACUUGUAGCAAGUGUGGGUACAAGGAGUGCUCCUUUAAUUGACUAUGACAAAGACCAGUUAUGGAAUUAAAGGACCACUAUAGUGCCAGGAAAACAUACUCGUUUUCCUGGCACUAUAGUGCCCUGAGGGUGCCCCCACCCUCAGGGUCCCCCUCACGCCCGGCUCUGGAAGGGGGAAAGGGGUUUAAACUUACCUUUUUCCAGCGCUAGGCGGGGAGCUCUCCUCC